AUACGGAAGGCAGCAGUGAGGAAUAUUGGACAAUGGGCGCAAGCCUGAUCCAGCCAUGCCGCGUGCAGGAAGAAGCAUCUAUGGUGUGUAAACUGCUUUUGUACGGGAAGAAACUCUCCUACGUGUAGGAGCUUGACGGUACCGCAAGAAUAAGGAUCGGCUAACUCCGUGCCAGCAGCCGCGGUAAUACGGAGGAUCCAAGCGUUAUCCGGAAUCAUUGGGUUUAAAGGGUCCGUAGGCGGUUUAAUAAGUCAGUGGUGAAAGCCCAUCGCUCAACGAUGGAACGGCCAUUGAUACUGUUAGACUUGAAUUACAAGGAAGUAACUAGAAUAUGUAGUAUAGCGGUGAAAUGCUUAGAUAUUACAUGGAAUACCAAUUGCGAAGGCAGGUUACUACUUGUGGAUUGACGCUGAUGGACGAAAGCGUGGGGAGCGAACAGGAUUAGAGACCCCGGUAGUCCC
rnacentral:rRNA from 1 species